GAUGAACGCUGGCGGCGUGCCUAAUACAUGCAAGUCGAGCGAACGGACGAGAAGCUUGCUUCUCUGAUGUUAGCGGCGGACGGGUGAGUAACACGUGGAUAACCUACCUAUAAGACUGGGAUAACUUCGGGAAACCGUAGCUAAUACCGGAUAAUAUUUUGAACCGCAUGGUUCAAAAGUGAAAGACGGUCUUGCUGUCACUUAUAGAUGGAUCCGCGCUGCAUUAGCUAGUUGGUAAGGUAACGGCUUACCAAGGCAACGAUGCAUAGCCGACCUGAGAGGGUGAUCGGCCACACUGGAACUGAGACACGGUCCAGACUCCUACGGGAGGCAGCAGUAGGGAAUCUUCCGCAAUGGGCGAAAGCCUGACGGAGCAACGCCGCGUGAGUGAUGAAGGUCUUCGGAUCGUAGAACUCUGUUAUUAGGGAAGAACAUAUGUGUAAGUAACUGUGCACAUCUUGACGGUACCUAAUCAGAAAGCCACGGCUAACUACGUG
rnacentral:rRNA from 1 species